UGAUCGUUUUGAAAUUUACAUAUAAAACUAGAAAAGAGCUCGUUGCAAAGCAAUGAAUAGGUCUUCCGUCGCCGCUGCUUCAUACGUCAUGUCCUGCGUGACGUUUUACAAAAUUUGUAAUCUGGCCAUGAUGUGAUAACAUUUAAAAUAAAACAUUAAAACAUGGUUAAAGCGACACGCUUAUAAUGAAUUGGUGCUUACAGCAAAGUGAUUUUAUUCCCUGUGACUUUAUUAUAUGUGGUAAACUUCGCGGAUAUAGCGAAUUACGUUUAAAAUGAAGUACAGUUGCCCGUCACUGACACUUCGUUAUGAGAAUGUUUUAAUGUACAAUGCUAGAUGUAUAGAUCCUUAGUAAAAUAGACAAAUGUUUUCAAUAUAAAUAAGAGGUUGCUUCACGAUGAUGUGUUUGUAAAAUACAAUUUCUCCGGAGUCAUAUACAUGUACAUUAAAGUUAAUUGAUAUAACAUCAAUAUUUUUUUCUUUAAAUUUCUUAUGAUGCAUUAAGCAUAAUUAGGCUAAUACAUGUAGAUUUAGUCAUGCAAAUAAUGUAUUGGGCAUAUGACUCUUAGCUCUUGGGGCUUUGUUAGUCAUUUUUUACCAAUUGUUUGGGGUUUGUAUGGAAUUCAAUAAAUAUUUGUUCAUUUU
rnacentral:sRNA from 1 species